rnacentral:RNase_P_RNA from 1 species
UUGGCAAGCUUUCUUAUCGCUUUUUAAAGAGGAAAGUCCGGACACCAAAGAGCAUUACAAUGGGUAACACCCAUCGCUAGAAAUAGUAGGAAUAGUGCAACAGAAAGUAUGUACAGGUAAGGCUGUAGUGAAAUCAUGUAAACUCUGUAAGGUGAAACGCCAAGUAAAUCAACGUUUGAAGACUGCUCGUCUGAUGUUGAAGGGUAGGCGGUUAGAACACUAAAGUAAUUUAUUGUCAAGAUAAAUGAUAAGACUAGACAGAAUCCGGCUUANAAGCUUGCCUUUUUA